rnacentral:lncRNA from 1 species
CAGUCACAAUCUUCACCAAUUAACCAAAACGAGUUUUCACCAACUAACCAAAACAAGCUUUCACCAACAAUACCAGCCUUAUCAACAUAAUAAUAUUAAAUCCAUCUCAAAAAUACAAAAAAGUACGAUACUAGUAACUAGUCCAAAAUAACGAAUGAAUACACAUAACACUAAUAAAAAUAACUAUGAAGCGUCUCUAAGAGUUCAUAAGAAAAGACGAUAAUAAAUAAAUAAACUCUUCGCCCACACGAACAAGUGUGGGGCUCACCAGGAACUAUCAAAUCGUGUACUCUACUAAUUAAUGAAAUUUUCUCUCACGUCAACUUUUAUCUGUAAAAAAAAAUAGCGGGGAGUGAGUCGCUAGGUCAGUGAGUAAUAAUACUUAACCACAAUUAUUUUUUAAUCGGAGACAAGUCAGAAAACAUGCAUGUUUAAUAAUAAUCAGAUACUAUCAUAAAAAUAAAAUGCCCUCUUAGAACGAUAAAUAUAAUCAGUCUAUUCAUGUAUUUCUUGUAAUAGAAAUCAAUUUAAUAAAUCAGUAAUAAACUCGGUAAACACUGUGUCGUAGCAAAUCUUUAUGUUUGGGAGGUUUCCAAGAAAGGAUCGUAUAAUUUAUAUCACUAUGUGGACCCCUUCGUAAAAGAAGUCAAAUAUAACUGUAGUCCCUACUCGAGAAAAAACUGUUACUGUAUGUUAGUUCUAUCUUCCCACUAGCGAGGGCUAUAACUAUAAUCGGUCAUCUGUAAAUACAAGGUGCACCAGGUCUAACGAACCCGCCGUUAGCUACGGGAUCCUUCAAAGUCUCCUCCCAUUUAUACUUCUUUUUGUAAACAGUAAAUAUUCACAUGGAAACAUUUUCAAAAUAGUACAGGGCAUUCCAAUUCUUAUCAAAUCAUGUAAUCCAAUUUCGGUAAUGGUAAUCAUAUCUCAAGUAAUAGUAAAACAUGUCAAGUAACAAUGAGAAUCUUUUAAACAACUGUAAACAUCUCAAGUAAACUAUUCAGUAUCAUAUCAAGUAAAGAACUUGUCCCACAUGCAAUUUCAAACAUUCGGUAACACAUUUUAUUUUCAAAAUAACGUANNNNNNNNNNNNNNUACUCACCUCUUGAUGCCAUGUAGCCAAAGCUCGACUUCUUAUCAAUCCAAAUGCUCAAUUUGUGUGUAAUCUAUAAAUCAAUAUAAGUUUAGUGUUACCACUCAUGAACUCUAUAAUCUAUUUCGCUUUCAGUAGAAUUUUCGGUUACAACCAGCAUCUUGAUUUCACUCUUCGUAUCAUUAUUUUUUCUUAAAAAAAAAUAUCUAUCGCUAAUUUAUUCUUCCAAAUCUCAAAAUCUUUGUACUACUCCUUUACUAAAUCGUACAGAAAACUUGCAGGAUUAGUAAUAAUAAGUUCUCAUAUUGUAUCUUCUUAAUAACUUGUUAGGAAUAAGUUCUUCCUUGAUAUCCCCGUGUUAUUGUAGAUUAUAAUCUUUUUUUUUAUGCUCAACUAAUCCAUCAAUUAGCUUAUGCAGAAUAUAAAUCUGAUUUUGUUCAUGAGCAUCCUCGCAUCCAAGCCAAUUGCAACGCUCCAUACAGAGUGACAAUAUCAUCUUUUUAGUUCUACCCAUAACAUCUUUCACUGGUAUUAAAUUUUCAAUAUCAUGAACAUAGCAUAAUUAUAAUAUAGACUAUCUAUCAAUAAAUUAGAAUAAGAGUUCAAGUAAAUACCCGAAAGAAUCAGUAAGUAGUUAAGAUUUCUUGGCUUCUACUGACAUGAUUCCACGCAUUGUAUUAGUUCCUCUCCAGAAUCCUUUGCUUUAAGCUUUUACGGCUAUGCAAAGUCCCUUUUUUUCUUUUAACCCUUAAAC